ensembl:lncRNA novel transcript, antisense to CENTD1
AGGGUCCUCCCACCCCCGCGUGGGCCAUCCCGGCCCAGCCUUCCCGAGGCCCCGGGUACUCGCCUUGCGCUCGGGUCGCGGAGUUCGAAAAGCGAGACAGGGUCUCACUUUGUCACCCAGGCUGGAGUGUAGUGAGGCAAUCUCAGCUCAUUGCGCCUCCGCCUCUGGGUCCAAGCUAUCCUCCCACGUCAGCCUCCCAGGUAGCUGGGAUUACAGGCGCGCACCAUCAGCCAAGACAUAGUCUCAUCACUCUGUCACCCAGGCUGGAAUGUAGUAGUGCAAUCUCGGCUCUCUGCAACCUUCACCUCCUGGAUUCAAGUGAUUCUCCUGCCUCAGCCUCCUGAGUAGCUGGGAUUACAGUGCGAGGGAUAUUUCUGCUGACAAUUCAACAUUCAAAGGGAUGAGUGUAUGACGUCUCUAAGAGAUGUCAUGGAGUGCAUGUAGAAGGGACUUUUUAUGGAGAACUACUUCUCAAAUCACUAUUCACAUCCUGGUAGAAGUCAAGCAAUGAAGAUGGCACAGAAACACAUCCCAAAUACUAUGAUACCAUAAAGUAUACUGUAGCAAUGCAUUGGCACACCCUCAUUUGAACAUUUGUCUCAGAAGAUUUUGACAGAAGAUAAAAUUGUCUGGUUUUUAUUUCAUUGGUUUCAUGAAAAUUUAUUUCACUGGUUUCAUGUCACAGGCCCAUGACUGUAUAAAGAGUCAUAAUCUUUACAAACACAACAAUGACUCACAGCGACAUGUUGCAAAGCUGUAAUCGAAAACACUGAUGUUGAUUUCAGAGGCCAUUAAUGGUGUUAAGAAGGCGCUUUUGUUAACCAAAUAAUUGAAUACUCGUAAUUACUUUUCAGUUCUAGUUCAGUUCUUGACACCAAAACAAGCCAUUUUCUUUACAUAGUGAAUGCAGAACUUGCCAGUAAGAACUUUCAUACUAAACUUCUAUGUAAAACAAAACAUGUCAAAAUCAGUAACUACUUUAAUGGAAUGGUAAAGAAUUUACUUAAACACAAAGGAAUGAAAAUAUCUCUGCAAAUAUGUCUAUUGACUUUUCAAAUUUGGUGACUUCUUUCGAAUUAAUUCCCUUACGUCUGUUCCUCAUCCACAUAAAAAUGACAAAAAUGAAAGAUAAUUUUCCAGCCUAUAAUUAAAUUUCUCCAUUGUUGGUAUAUGUUUUUUCAAAUACAUUUUUCAGUUUUCAUAAUUCAUAUGAGAAUUAUUAAAAGGGAGUUAGUUGCCUUUAGGACCUUAUUUGGAGCCUAAUUCUUAAAAAUUGUGUAAAAAUAAUUGUGACUUUUAAGAGACAAUUGGAAAUUUGAACCUGACCACAUUUUUGUGAUAUUAAGGAAUUUUAUUAAUUAUUUUCUAGGUGGGGGAAUGAUAUGAUGAUAUUCUUAAAAUAAUGUGUGGAUUGUUUAUUACAUUUCAACAUUUUCUUAAUCAUCAAA